CAUGCAAGUCGAACGAAGUAGCAAUACUUAGUGGCAGACGGGUGAGUAACAUGUAGGUAUCUUCCCUUUGGCCUGGAAUAACACGAGGAAACUUGUGCUAAUACUGGAUAAGUCUUUACGGAGAAAGCUUUAUGCACCAUUGGAUGAGCCUGCACUUGAUUAGUUUGUUGGUAGGGUAAUGGCCUACCAAGACUUUGAUCAAUAGCUGAUUUGAGAGGAUGAUCAGCCACAUUGGGACUGAGACACGGCCCAAACUCCUACGGGAGGCAGCAGUGGGGAAUCUUGCACAAUGGAGGAAACUCUGAUGCAGCGAUGCCGCGUGAGUGAAGAAGGCCUUUGGGUUGUAAAGCUCUUUCGUCGGGGAAGAAAAUGACUGUACCCGAAUAAGAAGGUCCGGCUAACUUCGUGCCAGCAGCCGCGGUAAUACGAAGGGACCUAGCGUAGUUCGGAAUUACUGGGCUUAAAGAGUUCGUAGGUGGUUGAAAAAGUUGGUGGUGAAAUCCCAGAGCUUAACUCUGGAACUGCCAUCAAAACUUUUCAGCUAGAGUUUGAUAGAGGAAAGCAGAAUUUCUAGUGUAGAGGUGAAAUUCGUAGAUAUUAGAAAGAAUACCAAUUGCGAAGGCAGCUUUCUGGAUCAUUACUGACACUGAGGAACGAAAGCAUGGGUAGCGAAGAGGAUUAGAUACCCUCGUAGUCCAUGCCGUAAACGAUGUGUGUUAGACGUUGGAAAUUUAUUUUCAGUGUCGCAGCGAAAGCGAUAAACACACCGCCU
rnacentral:rRNA from 1 species